GAACAACUUAGGAACCCUGCUAGCAGUGUCUUUAGGCUGGUACCUGGGCAUUUCAUGAGUCUACGCCUUCUGACACAAAUUCUUCAAAUUCUCAUGAUUCCCAGCUCACGUCUGGAGAUCUCAAUACAAAGCAGCAGGGAGGAGAGCUGUGUGGAGGAGGAGAUGAGAAGAUGACUGUGGUAGCACCUGUAUCCCAUCAGAUCAAGAGCAAAUGUGGUUGACAGCAGAAACCUAAUGAGGGAACAGAGAGGAAAAGCUCAAGGACAUCUUUCCUCUGGUAUUUUGCGUCAGUUUCCAGUAGAAACACAGAUUUUCUGUGUUAGAAAAAGCAUAUGUUCAGUAGAGGAAUCAGAUACCAGCUCUAUAUUAGCUAUCUAACACUGAUCUGCACCAUGUUUAUUCCUGCCUCCAUGUUCUGCCCCUGAGCCACAUGCACAGAAUCACAGCUGAAACUAUCUGAGAAACACUUUUUGCAGCUGAAAGCUGCAUUUGAAACUUCCUUAUGCAAAAACAUGUUGCUUAGGAUGGACCAAGACAGCCGAAAUCCUACUAUAGUUCGUAAGCUUAAGUCUUGAAGGAGGCACUGCUGAGAAGAAAGAAACUCGAACAAUUGCACAAUAUUUUCAUGUGGAAUUGUAAUCCAAAAAAAGUUUGGAUGAACACUGGUCAAAAGUUUGUUGUAUCUAACAGGUAAUUGCUGAAGCCACUGAAUGGGUGUUGUGGUUACAUUGACUUCAUUCUUACAGUUUAAUUUUUUUUAUUAUAUGCUCAGAGUUUCAAUCUGAGUCUGUCUUCCAUAAAGUCUCGAGGGACUUGGACCUCUAGAGACCUUAAAUACAGGCAGCAUAACUCCCCAAAGAUUUCCACACACACAAAAGAACAUUGUCUUAAAUCAGCAAGGACUUUUUCCCUUAGAGAAGGCAGCAGUGGUAAAAUCAAUGUUAAUCCUGCUUUGCUCCACUCCAUUCUCAGGAGAGAAGUCCCACUGAGUUAUAGUAUGAAGACAGUCUUCAUACUAUAGACAAUAGUAUAUCUAUAGACAAUAGAUAUUAAGACAAGACUAUCUUAUCUUAAUGUCUGCCAGGAAACUGUGAAAACAAAACUACCUUUCUUUUCUAGCUAGGAAAAAAUGAGUUAAUAAUUGCCAGAAACUUAAUGGAGGCUAUUCCACUUGGCAUAUUAAAUAAGAGGCAUCCUAACCAUCUAACCAUCUUAGAGUUCCUUGCUUUACUACUCUGUCAGAGGGUCUGCUGGUCCCUGGCCAAAUGCUGCUCAGCACUGCCCUGUAGGUAGCAGGUCUGUAUUGGUGGAAGAUGUACCUAUGUAACAAGGUCACUUUCAAUAUACACAGAGCUCCAAUACUACAAAUAUUUUUUCACUGGGCAAAAGCUGAGAUUGACUCAGCUGGAAGUUUUAUUGUUGGGAUCAUUAUGGUUGCACAUUACCAAGCCAGGUAAAUCCCUGGUAAAAUUAACACAGAAGAGAGAGAUGUUUCCUGCUGUGCCAUGUUUUCUGUAUAUUUGGUGUCAAAUGGAAAUGAGUUGUCUUGCUCUUCUCUUAAUUGAAUGCCAGCAUUCCACAACAGAUGCUGCAAACCUGUGUAUUGACUAUUUUCUCCUCCAUAAACUGGCAAUAGAGCUCCGAGGGAUGCUGGACAGCCCCAGGAGUUAAAUGGGCCUUCUGAGGUGAUUUUUCAGAGACUAUCUUCUCCAUUUCACUGCAGCCAAACAGUGAAGUUGCUCCAAGACACUACCUGCUAACCACCUUCUGCCUUGAGUCUGUAGCAUGCCAGCCCUCUGAGCAAACUCGGAGCCAUCAGCACCAGAACACCUCAUCCUGGAGGGUCUCCAGCUCUAUGCAGCCUGCAGCUCCCACCCCAGCAGAGCCAAGGUCCUCAGUGCCAGUGCCAAGGACACAGCAGCACAACAGCACCUUGGAGGUGGUUCAUCCAAGCAGGCAAAGCACACUGAGCACAGGGGAAACCAGAAGGACUUAGUCGUGAUUUUGUAAAACUCCAAAUUCAGGAAAGAAUUCAGGUUAGAUCUUUGACGACGUAUGGCAUGAUAGAAAACAAGCACUCACUGAAGCUCAGUCUUCUGCCAAAAUGCUGCCGCAUGACAAAUGCACCAUCUUCCAAACAUCAUUAAUCUCGCUUAUAUAAAAAUAUUCUAUAACACUUCUUUACAGGCUCAGACACUCACUUCAGUGUUAUUUUGUGGGAGAACAUUUAGAAACUGCAAGGAAGCCAUAAAAGAAUGCAACCAGGAGCCAGCUUCUGAAAGCCAGAAAAAUUACUAGAUUGUUUUCAAGACUAGAAAGCUUCUAAAGUGAUGGAGAAAAAGUGGCCAAGAGAAAAGUGCUCCUGGGGCAAAAAGGAAAAGGAUGAGAAAAUAGGGGCCCCUUUGCCUAUCAUCUGCUCAGUCUUCUUGGUCUCCUGGAGAGCUGUCACUUGAAUGAGGCCGAUGGAGAGACUGGCAUCCGUUGCCGUUGCAGAGCUCGGGUAAGGAUGGCCAUCCAGUAAGCCCAGCUGCUGUUCUCCUGCUGCUGAGGUUGGUGGGAUCACACCCCAUAGCUGAAAGAUGUAUAAACCAAUAUAUUUUACCUCCUAUUUGCUGUGGAAAUUUGCCUGCCACAAGUUUGCUGAAGGCAGUAACUCACUGAGCCACAGACUCAGUCACGCGUUUAAUUCUGAAGAGUGGUGGGAUUUGAUCUCAGUCCAUAUGAAGACAUUAAACAACACCCACUGGCAAACCCAUCAUCUGCAACCUGGAACAGGUCCUGCACAGCAGCUUCCUCCUCAUGCGUGGAAGUGAUUCCUCCCAUCCAGCACAUGCUUGGAGGCACAUCUGAAGUAUGACGUACGGUUUCCAUGAUAACAGCCCUGUCUCUGAAAGAAAGCUACUUUGGAACAGGUGUCUCUGAGAUAAUUGUGCAGAGAUGGUGACCCUAAGCUGUGCCUCAGCAAAAUACAAAUGAUGGAGCACAGUCCUGAUCAGACCUCAUCUUGCAAACAUAUGACUUUGAGCAGCUUUGCAAAUGAUUUGGCUAUCCUGAGCCAAAUCUUUUAAUGUCAUGAGGAGAUCAGCCACACACUCACUCACGCUACACCUCCAGGUACAUGACUUCAAGAACUUCAUCUUCCAGAUUAAAAAAAAAGGGGGGUCUGCUCUGAAUCAGACACUCUUCUCUACAUCACUGCUAAUAGUGGAUUGCUCAUUUCAUCUACCUCUGAUUUCCCCACUACUGAUAGCAAUAGAUCCCAGAAAAUUAGGUGUGAUUUAGGCAGUCAACCAGCUCUAGAAAUUGCAGGUCUUCAACUGCUUCAGCUGCCGAGCCUUUUGGAACAGCUCAA